CUCUGCUCGCUCCAUCCCACGGAGAGGAGUUGAUGCUGCUGUCGCCGCCGCCGCCGAAGCCGGGGCUGAUGGAUGCCAGGGAGUGCCGCAUUGCUUAGCGUCCCCGCCUCCGGGUUUGCUGACGCUCUCUCCCCGCCCUGGAGCUCAGCGCUGAAGAGCCACCUUAUUAUUAAUCAGAAUUCCCAUCGUUAUCCCUGGCAGGCGCAUCCUUCAGUAGGGCCCGCAGAAGCAUCACAGAGCUGGGGCUGAGAUGUGCGUGGGGGUUGUUUUUGUUACAUCUCGGAAGAGAAGAGGACAGGACCAAGAUCAGUGCCAAGUGAGCUGGGUGGGCUUGGGGGCGUUGUGUUAGGAUUGAGGAGAGACAAGGAGUCUUGGGCCCGCCAGAGGUCCACAUCUCUUUAAAGGAAAGGGAAGAGGGAACCAAAGUGAGGCAUUGUUUUUAAGGGGUGGGAAAAGUUUAUAUCCCCCAGAAAAAAAGCUGCGGGAGAGCAGGAGCAACAGGGUACUAGUCUGGACACCAAGACAAAUAAUUUCCUGUACAGAAGAGGAAGCAGGCAGCAGUGAGGUCCAGAGGCCAGAGCCCUGUAGUGGCCAAGGCCAGGUUUGUUGUGGGACAGUCAGCAAGAGGAAAGGAAGGUUCAGGAAUAAGCAGAACAAUGACUCAUUUACAAGCUGGUCUCUCUCCUGAGACCCUGGAGAAAGCUCGCUUGGAGCUCAACGAGAACCCAGACACACUGCACCAGGACAUCCAGGAGGUGAGGGAUAUGGUCAUCACCAGGCCGGACAUUGGCUUUCUGCGCACAGAUGAUGCCUUCAUCUUACGCUUCUUGCGGGCCAGGAAGUUUCAUCACUUUGAGGCCUUCCGCCUCCUGGCCCAGUACUUUGAGUACCGGCAGCAGAACCUGGACAUGUUCAAAAGCUUCAAGGCCACUGACCCGGGCAUCAAGCAGGCACUGAAGGAUGGCUUCCCUGGGGGCCUGGCCAAUCUGGACCACUAUGGCAGGAAGAUUCUAGUCCUUUUUGCAGCCAACUGGGAUCAGAGCAGGUACACACUGGUGGAUAUUUUGCGUGCCAUCUUACUUUCUUUAGAAGCCAUGAUUGAAGAUCCUGAGCUUCAAGUGAAUGGAUUUGUUUUGAUCAUAGACUGGAGUAACUUCACCUUCAAGCAAGCCUCCAAACUUACACCCAGCAUGCUGCGAUUGGCUAUUGAAGGCCUUCAGGAUAGCUUCCCAGCACGAUUUGGAGGAAUUCAUUUUGUCAAUCAGCCGUGGUAUAUCCAUGCCUUGUACACCGUGAUCCGGCCUUUCCUAAAGGAGAAGACUCGGAAAAGGAUAUUUUUGCAUGGUAACAACCUGAACAGUCUACACCAACUAAUUCAUCCUGAGAUCCUGCCUUCUGAGUUUGGAGGAAUGCUACCCCCUUAUGACAUGGGAACAUGGGCAAGAACACUGCUAGACCACGAGUAUGAUGAUGACAGUGAAUACAAUGUAGACUCCUACAGCAUGCCCAUGAAGGAAGUGGAAAAGGAACUCUCCCCCAAGUCCAUGAAGAGAUCCCAAUCAGUAGUGGAUCCUACAGUAUUAAAACGCAUGGAUAAAAAUGAGGAAGAAAACAUGCAGCCUUUGCUCUCCCUGGACUGAUAACUUCUCUGCACUCCCCAUGGAUUAGGAAUGGAAGGUACUUGUUUUCAGCAACAGGGACAGCACUAUGGAGGAAUGACCAGCUGGAAACUUAUUUAUUCAUGUUAAUGUAGCAUAAUAUAAAAUAAGGCAUUGGGCUUUCCCAUUCGCUUGAACCAUGGGUACCCUGGUCUGGAGUUAAAGAAAAAAGUCAAUAAUUUAUUCUGUAAGUGCCAAGUUCUUUGUAAAUAUACUGUAAUCUUCACGUCAAGUUUGUAAACUUUGGUAGUAACUGAAAUUGGAAAAGAUUGGCUCAUGAGUCCAUGCCAGUGAUAUGAACUAUAACAAAAAACAGAAAAGACACAUAUACAAUGGAAGCUAAUUAAAUGUAGCCCUGUUUCCUAUGAAGCCAUAUUUCAGCUCUCAUAGUGAUUGUUACAAUGUUUUUCUCUGAAACUGUCAUAUUCCAAUGUACUUUUAAUGGACACAGGUAACUAGAUGAUUCUAGGAAAUUAGUAUGAUAAAUGUCUAGUGAUUUCCUGUCUAGUGAUUUUCAUUUCACAGAAAAUGUGUCCUAGUGACUAUCACUGGCCUUGAAUUUUGGAGACAAGGAAUGGCAGAGGAGCUGGUAAACUAAACACUUGAACUUUUCUAUGUUGUUUAAUUUCUGGAGUCUUGUGAAGAUAUGUUUCCCAAAUUAAGAUGUGGAAUUCUGAAAACGAGUGGAUUUUUUUUAAAUUGCUGUCUUCACAGUGUGUCUUUUAUUUGAGAUCCUAUUGUAUCCAUGUCUGAUGUACUUUAAGGACAUUUUCCCUAAAAAUCUCUUCAACAAAGAUAAAGAGAAUUCAUACGUGAAUAGUGUUUUGACAACUAACUUUGGACAUAAAAGUUGCCAUGUACAGAUAAGGGGCUAAUUUCUAAUUCUUGUGCACUGGUUGGAAAUAUAUAUAUAUAUAUUCACAUGCACAUAUAUAUUUUUAUUGAGCUCUAAUAAAUCCUUGAUGUGACAGGCUUAUAAAAUAAAUCAUACAUAUUCAAUGGUCUUAGAGAUUAUAAGUGAUUACAUGAGAUACUAACUCUGGAAAACUGCUUCCACUAAAGUUAAUGAAAAUGAGGUAUACUGAAACAGACUUUCAGUGAACCUGUUUUAAGGGAAUUCUAAUUUGAUUUGUAAUGCAAUCUUGAGUCUGUGCCAUUUUAGUGCAAUAUAUUUUUCCUUCACAAAACAACAGUUCUCAACAUAAUGUAGGCAGUACCAGGUGACCAAGAGUAAUAUAAUUUCUCUCAAAUUCAAGUUAAUUAUCUUAAUGGUCCUAUAAGUACAGAUUUUCUUUUCAGAAAAGAUUGAAAGAACAUACUGCAUCCAUAAGACAUAAUGAAAGCAUCUGAGGGAAUCUGAGAUAGCAUAUUAUAGUUUAAAUCUAGAUGUGGAAUCCUUAUGUUAGUUUUUAUUUCAUAAAAAUUCUACAAUUAUAGAACAUUUUAAAAAUCUUACUUUAAAUUUCAAAUUCCAGUGUGAAAAAGCAAGAUUUUUACCACCUUUUCAGAGUGCUAAUUUUUGAGAUUGAAAAUUUACCACUGAAAUAUUCUUUUGAAAGAAAAAUAUCUCAAGGAACUGUUGGAAACCAACAGAAAUAAAGGCAUGUAGCAGCCUUUAUAUACUUUUUAGCCAAAAGCUUCAAAAAUUCCACUUACAGUUCUAUACCAAAAAUCUUAAAAUCAAGAUCAGUACAUCAACUUGCGGUAUCACGAAUGGACUAUCCAGUGUUGGUAAAAAUACAUAAACAUAUGUAAGUAAUAGGAUUAAAUUAUACCUUAAAAAUGCCAACCUUAAAUCAAAUCUGGAAGAAUAACAAGUGUCAGGCCCUCUGCUCUACCCACAAAUAUUAUAGAGAUCAGAAUGAAUUGGAGAUAAAAAGCCACAGCAACUCUUAUCUUUGUAAGUACCCUAACCACAGGAUUCUUAUAUUUGGCCUACCUGACAUACAUUUUAUAGUCUUGGACUUUAUAUAUGAUAGAAGCAAGUGUUAGGCAAUAUAAUGUAUUAGGAUAAAAUAGAAACCAAGUACAGAAAGAUGGUCAACUUUUCAUUCUCCUGUGUUUCUCUUGAUAUACAUUGUUUAUUGCCAAUUUUUAGAAUUCUACCAGCUUCAGAUGUCAACUAGCAUAGUCAGCUCCUUUCCCCUCUCAGAAGGGUAGUGUCGUAAGGUACAAAAAUAACCAGAAGGGCAUAUUGUACGUGUAUACCUGUCUAAUUAUGAUUCCCAUCAUCUCCCUUACCCAGCAUUUGGAAAUUUUACAUCCCGUUGCUAUGUGUCUGCUCUUCUUCAAAUGAGCAAUUGAGAAUUGGCUGCAUUGUGUAGAAUAUUUUUAAAUGAAUGAACAAAUUACAACAACGAUGCCUUUUGAAAUUGCUUUAUCUAAUUCAAUCUGUGAGUAAACUCAUUGUCCAGGAAUGUUUUUGGACCUGCUUAGUCAAGGGAUAUUUGAUCAACUUUAUACAUUUACCUUCCAGAAUCAGCUAACUAGCAGCAUUUAGGGAUAUUUUCCGCUAGUAUUUCCUGUUACGUAGCUAUGUCUGUUGUCACAUAACUUAGUAAAUAAGCACCACUAUAUGUCAUUUUAAUUGUGAUAGUGCCCUCUCUCUCUGUUUUGUGCAUGCAUAUGCGUGCACACAUGGCUGUUUGCCCUAAUGAAUUUGUCUAUUUUGAAAUCUAUGCUUUCCUUCGUAGCUGUCUUGUUAAAAGGAUUACCACAUUUGAUUUGGAACGGACCAGUCAUUCCUGCUUCUCUCACCCUGCCUGUUCCACCAGCUCUUUCUUAUACCCUUUCUUUCUUCCAUUGUUUCAGGGGCAGCUGCUUCCAAAGCUGGUUUAAAAAUAAAUCACUUUCCUUUUAUGGUCAGUGAUAUUUGCACACAUUUUUGCCUGAUACCUUCAAAGAAAGAGAUUAUCGUGAAAAUACACUCUAAGAAAUAGGAAGAAGUGCCUCUUUAAAAAUGAGAUAAAGCAGUGAUACUAGAAUAUGGAUUCUAUUUGUAGUCUUCUCUUAUAAGUAAAUACACGCAUCUAAAUCAUAAGUGUGAAACUUUGAACAUUCCCAGACAGCUUUAAGUCCUUAUUGCAUCAGUUCAAUACCAUAAUUUGAAGACAUUAUUUGCAAAUCUGACGUUACACUAGAACAAUAUACAAGUCUUUGCAAGGAAGUUUUUGAAGUGGGCAUGCAUGACUUCUUUUAUUUCAGUAGUAGUUUGCAUAGUGUAGGCAGACAUUCCUUAAGUCUUUUCCCAUAAAAUGCUUGUUUAUUUUACAGGACUGAAAAUUCAUACAUUCCUAAGCAGGGGAGCCAAGGAGCUAGGUUCUCUUUAAUAUUGUUAACUAGGUCACAUUGUUAAAUUAAGCAUUUGAAGUUUCUGUAAUAUUCCUGAGGGAUCAGAGGUCCCUUUAAUGCAUCAAGAAAAUGGAGCAUUGUUUUAGGCCUUGGGGAGCAUGUUCAUCACUCACAAAAAAAAAAAAUCCUUAGAGCCAUGGCAUUGUAUCUCCAGAAACCAACUUCCUUUCCUUCUCCAAACAACCUAAAGGUUUAUGGAUAUGUCUGUGGUCCUUGAGAGAAAUUAUAACAAGAAAACCUGCUGUGAGGCUACGUACACUUCCAUUGCUUUAUCUAAAUGUCUAACUGGUCUGGUUAAUACCUUUUUUGAUUAUUUCGUGUGUAUUUAUUAAUGGUUACUUGAAAAGUUGCCAUCAACCAUGAGGAGUUUUUAGAAUGAUUUUCAACACAUAAAAUAAAAGAAGCAGAGCUCUGGCAUGAUAUUUGAAUUUUUUAGAUAUAGUAUCAUCAAAAAGCUCAUAGGCAUAUAUUCCAUUUAAAUAUGCUAUAUAGCUAUAUGGCCUAAAAAUAGUGGUACAUUUUAAAUUUAUGAGGCCAUUAGAUCAUGUAAGAAUCAGCAAGUUGUAUAAAAUAUAUUUGGCACAAAAGUAGAAGAUUGGUUAAUUAUUCAGGAUGUAUAAUUAUCUUCAGUAGUAAAAAGGAUUUGUUUUUUCUUUGUUUUAGUUGAAAAACUGAUUUUCAAUAUGCGAUUGGAACUAUUUAGCACUACCUACUAUUUGAAAGGUGACAAGUAAGAAUACAAAAGGACGCUUGACUUUGAAACAUUAUUAUAUCAUGAUCUUCAUGGCUUAGAGACAUAAUUUUUCACAAAUUCACAUUUUGAUUUGGUAAACAUCCAUAGGUUAACCCCACACAUGGAGAUACUGUUAGGAAGUCUAUUCUGUGAUGAGUAUGGAAAUGUAUUCCUUUGGAUUGUGGGGAAAAAAAAUGUAUAAGAGCAAUUCUGUGGAUUGAAAUAGCCAAAUUGUACUAUUUUUCAAAGAUGGAGGAUGUAAAUGAUACUGUUGAAAUUAAAACAAAAAAAAGUAUAGAUUAUGCACUUUUAUAGUAGAGAGUGAACAUUGUUACAAUGAAGAAGGUGUUUGGUCAGUAUUGGACUAGUUUCAAGUUUCAAUACAAAUAUCUGUGUCCUUAAUGAUAUCAAUAUCAUUUAUUUUGUCAAAACUAUUUUUGUGGUGAAUGAGAGGGACCUAGAUGAAAAAUCGAAAUAAAUGUUAAUGGAACUUUUAAGAGUGAACCAAUUCUCAAUAAUUUAAAAAAAUUGCAGUGGAUGAUAACUGGUUUACAUACAACAGAGAGAUUUCAAGCACUGUCUUCGUUCUAAUCCAGUUUUCAGUUUUCAACUUAUUUAAAAGAUAAAUAAAAUUCCAAAACCAAAUAGUUUUUGUUUUCAAAACUGUUCAUAAAAAAAACAAGAUGUCUAAAAGGUAAUUAUACAAGUCCUUGAUAAGGAUAUAAACACACUGUUUACUAUUUGAGUGAGCUAUUUAUUACAAUGGUAUAACUAGUAUAAUACAAUUUUUGAAUAAAUAUACAUUUCUGCUUUAAAAAAGC